UCGAGAAUAUUCCACAAUGGACGAAAGUCUGAUGGAGCGACGCCGCGUGCGGGAUGAAGGCCUUCGGGUUGUAAACCGCUUUUUUCAGGGAGCAAUUACGAUGAGAGUACCUGAAGAAUAAGAGGUUACUAACUCUGUGCCAGCAGUAGCGGUAAUACAGAGACCUCAAGCGUUAUCCGGAUUUAUUGGGCGUAAAGCGUAGGUAGGCGGGUAUGUUAGUCGGAUGUCAAAGACCGGGGCUCAACCCCGG
rnacentral:rRNA from 1 species